AAGUCGUAACAAGGUUUCCGUAGGUGAACCUGCGGAAGGAUCAUUACCGAGGAGAUGUUGUGGCUGCCGUCGGGGCAACCCCCCUUCGGACGUCCAUUUUCCUUCUCAUCCAUUGUGAAUUUACCUCUGUUGCUUUGGCGGGCCCCCGGGUCGCACCGCCGCUGGCCGUCAGGCCGGCGAGUGUCCGCCAGAGUCCAUCUUAAACCCAGCUAAUCGGUGACGUCUGAGCGAAAAAUCAAUGAAACAAAACUUUCAACAACGGAUCUCUUGGUUCUGGCAUCGAUGAAGAACGCAGCGAAAUGCGAUAAGUAAUGUGAAUUGCAGAAUUCAGUGAAUCAUCGAAUCUUUGAACGCACAUUGCGCCCUCUGGUAUUCCGGGGGGCAUGCCUGUUCGAGCGUCAUGUCUAACUCAAGCUCUUUGCUUGGUGUUGGGUGCCGUCCCCCGGGACGCAUCUGGAAAUCAGCGGCGAUGCGNCCGGCGACCAGGCGUAGUAAACCACUUCCGCUUAGGUUCCCCGGGCGCGUUCGCCGGACAACCCUCCAUUUUUUAACUAUGGUUGACCUCGGAUCAGGUAGGGAUACCCGCUGAACUUAAGCAUAUCAAUAAGCGGAGGAAAAGAAACCAACAGGGAUUGCCUCAGUAACGGCGAGUGAAGCGGCAACAGCUCAAAUUUGAAAUCUGGCCUCGCGGUCCGAGUUGUAAUUUGCAGAGGAAGUCUCGGGGGAGGCACCGGUCUAAGUUCCUUGGAACAGGGCGUCAUAGAGGGUGAGAAUCCCGUACGUGACCGGCCGCCGAACCCAUGUGAGGCCCCUUCGACGAGUCGAGUUGUUUGGGAAUGCAGCUCAAAAUGGGUGGUAAAUUUCAUCUAAAGCUAAAUACCGGCCAGAGACCGAUAGCGCACAAGUAGAGUGAUCGAAAGAUGAAAAGCACUUUGGAAAGAGAGUUAAACAGUACGUGAAAUUGUUGAAAGGGAAGCGCUUGCGACCAGACUUGCCCGCGGGCGAUCAGCCGUCCUUCGGGGCGGUGCACUCGUCCGCGGUCAGGCCAGCAUCGGUUUGGGCGGCCGGACAAAGGCCCCGGGAACGUGGCUCCUUUCGGGGAGUGUUAUAGCCCGGGGCGCCAUGCGGCCAGCCGAGACCGAGGACCGCGCUUCGGCUAGGAUGCUGGCGUAAUGGUCGUAAGCGACC
rnacentral:rRNA from 1 species